AUGGUCCAGUGCAAGACUUCGGUACACGCAGCACCAUUGAUGUUUGCAGGCCGCUUCUAUUGCACCACAGAAAAUGGCGUCAUGCUGCUAGAGACCAGUGAAGAUCAGCCGCCACACAUGGAGGUGGCUGCCAGAUUGCGAAAGCCAAUCUCGGCGAUGAGGAUGGAUAGUGCGCACCUGGUGAACAACAACGGGGAGCUGAUGCUGGUGCACCGCAAGAUCCGGUACCUCAGAAAUAGAACAAGGAGGAGGAUGUACGACGUUUAUAAGGUGGAUUUGGACACCGGAACUCUAUUUCCGGUCAAGAGCUUGGGCGGCCGAGCAUUGUUCAUGGGCAUGUAUUGCUCUCUUUCGGUUUCGGCGGACAGUUUCCCCUCCAUAUGUGGCGACACCAUAUACUUGAGCUUCGAUCUCAAAGAGAGAGCUCAUGAUGGGGAAAUAGAGGCCUACCAUCUCCCAAAUGGAAGAACGAAAUCUGCUUAUUACAACUUGGACAGCUCCGUGCCAUGA
rnacentral:rRNA from 1 species